UUGAAUUUGACAUAACGUGAAAUUUUUACUAUAAAGUGUUCAAACAAAUUUUUAUUUACUACAUGUAAAGGGAGAAAAAUAUGGCUCAAAACUCCAAGUUUAUUUAUGUUUUGAUAAUCUUUCUUUUUCUAUUUCUUGCUCUAACCAGCGGCCGUGAGUAAUUUUUUACAUUAUUUUCACAUUUUAUUAUUUAUGUUAUACACAACAUUUCAUUAUCUUCUGGUAACAUUCCUUCAUAUUUAUGUACCAAAAAAAAAAAACAUUCCUUCAUAUUUUUAUUUAACUUUGCAGAUCGGGAAUGUAGACAUGACAAUGAUUGUCCAAGAAAUAUGUGUCUAUCUAUUUUAUAUCCGAAGUGCAUUAAUUUAUUUUGUGAGUGUGUGCAAGUGUAACCAUUAACAUGAAAAAUAAUUGGUUUAGUUGUACUUUUGAUUUCUUCAUUUUCACCAUUUUGUAGAAUUAGUCCAUCUAUUUUAAAAUCCGAUAGUUUUGAUCUCUCGAUCAAAUAUUUGACUUAAAAUAUGGUGAUGUAAUAAGUUUUAAGUGAAUUUUUUAAGGGAUUUACCUACAAUUCAUUGAUGUUAUCUUUUUCUAUCAUCAAAUCCUAUGUCACAUAACUUAAAACAUUAUUACAUUACAUCACCAAUUUUUAGUUGAAAAAUAUGAAAGAGACUUAAACUAUUAUAUUUUAAAAUAGACGGACCAAAUCUACAAAAUAUAUAGUAAAUGCAGGAAAAUCAAAAUUAUAAUUAAGCUAAAAUAAUUAUAGUUAUUUAUAAGCUUUUUUUUU
rnacentral:lncRNA from 1 species